UACGUAGGGGGCGAGCGUUGUCCGGAUUUACUGGGCGUAAAGGGUGAGUAGGCGGUUAUAUAUGUCAGGUGUAAAAAGCUAUGGCUUAACCAUAGUAAGCACUUGAAACUGUAUGACUUGAGUGCAGGAGAGGUAAGCGGAAUUCCUAGUGUAGCGGUGAAAUGCGUAGAUAUUAGGAGGAACACCGGUGGCGAAGGCGGCUUACUGGACUGUAACUGACGCUGAGUCACGAAAGCGUGGGUAGCAAACAGGAUUAGAAACCCUAGUAGUCC
rnacentral:rRNA from 1 species